AUGUCCAAGGACUAGCCAUGCACGUCUAAGUACAAACUAAAUGAUGGUGAAACUGCAAAUGGCUCAUUACAACGGUUAUGAUGUACCCGGGAGUUCCGAUGGAUAUUUCCAGUAACACUAGAACUAAUACAUGUCCCUGCGUUUAUUAGUUUCGCACAGUCCGUCGCUGAGUCAUGGUAAACAGUUGAUCGACUCGACGUCCCGGAACAGUUUCCGCCCCAUCAGCUUCGAUGGUUGGGUAUUGGCCUACCAUUGCAACAACGGGUAACGAGGAAUUAGGGUUUGAUUUCGGAGAGGGAGCCUGAGAAACGGCUACCACAUCUACGGAUGGCAGCAGGCGCGCAAAUUACCCAAUGCAGACACUGUGAGGUAGUGACGAGAAAUAAUAAAGCGGGACUUCUGUUUCGCUAUUAUAAUGAGGAAUAACCAAAGGUCAUUCCGAUUAGCAACUGAUGGGAAAGUCUGGUGCCAGCAGCCGCGGUAAUACCAGCGUCAGUAGC
rnacentral:rRNA from 1 species